rnacentral:rRNA from 1 species
AGGGAAAGAGGGAGGCAUGCCUUACACAUGCAAGUCGAACGGCAGCACGGUUGCUUGCUCCUGGUGCCGAGUGGCGGACGGGUGCGUAAUACAUAGGCACCUGUCCCUUCGUGGUGGAUAGGCCGGCGAAAGCCGGAUUAACACCGCUAACGCACUCCGGCUGAAAGCGAGGGCCCUUCGGGUUUCGCGCUAUCGGGUUGGCAGCUGCCUGUUUCGCUAGUUGGUGGGGUAAAGGCCUACCAAGGCGACGAUCAGUAUCUGGUCUGGGAGGAAGACCAGCCAGACUGGGACUGAGACACGGCCCAGAGGCCUACGGGAGGCGGCAGUGGGGAAUUUGGGACAAUGGGCGGGAGCCUGAUCCAGCAAGGGGGCGUGUGUGAAGAAGGACUUCGGGUUGUAAGACACUUUUGUCCGGAAAGAAAACCUUGGCCAUAAUACGGUCGGGAGAUGACGGUACCGGAAGAAGAAGCACCGGCUAACUACGUG